CACUUCCAUAUGUCCAAUGAUUAAAUAUUUACAGAGCUCUCUGCCUUAGCCCAAUCUCUCUAUUGGAUUAUGUGAUUUAUGCCAUACUACCGUAUAUAAAAUAGUCUAAAGUCGAUUUUUUUUAAACACACAAGAAAUAAGAAAAAGACAGAGAAAGUAAGCCAUUUACAGGGUCAGUGCCAGUGUAACGCUCCGGGUGUCGUGGGUGUGGAGUCAGACGCAGGAAACAGAGAGUGCAAUGCUGUGCUAUUUAACGCACAAACGCAACACAGGGUGCUCACAACAAUAACGGCCCCAAACACGGGGGACGAAAAAUGUACAACUGAAAUACACGACCAGGAAACAAACACGUUCCUCUAAUACAGAACCGAAGGUCACAAUAAUUAAUCCCGCACAACAAACAGGCGGGCCGGCUGUCUAAUAAAGCCCAACUAAUCAUUCACAAACAGGUGCUACCAAUAAACAUACAAGGAGGGGGAGGAAAGACAAUCAGUGGCAGCUAAUAGGCCGGUGACGACGACCACCGAGCGCCACCCGACCAGGAAGGGAAGCCACCCUCGGUCGGACUCGUGACAGCCACAUUGUAACGAUUGUCAUCGGGAGAAUGAGAAGAGGACCAAAGUGUAGCGUGGGAGAAGAUUCAGGCCUGCACUCUCAAGAUUCAUCAAAGGAAUGUACUUUUCCCCACUGAACCUCUAACACAUUCAAAAACGGCAGGUUGUAUCUAAUGAAGUCCGGGACAUCGUCGUUGACCAUGUGGUAAGAGGCUGACAGAUUAGUUCACACCAAUCUGAAAAGAUCAACUGUCAAUUCGAUCAUGAGAAAAUUUCGCCAAGAAAACUGGUAAGUCUGCAGGAUAUACAUUAUCAUUACAUUUACAGUAAAUUACAUAUUGUAAUGCAUGUAAAUUCACUAAACAUGUUAAAGUAUACUCUAUACUACCCUCAGAAUUGACAGGAGAACACAUGGUGGUGGCCGUGUGCUGACCGACCAGCAGGACUGGACAGUGGUGGAAAUGGUGAGGGCCAGGAAUGACAUACGGCUGUCCAAAAUAAAGUAGGCUAUUGAGGAGAACAAUGUCACCUUUGCCAAUGUGUGUUCCAUCAUGAAAUACAUUUACCUGUUGCCUUUUGAAAUAAUUAACAAUCGGGUAAAACAACUGUGGGUCAAGUAUGUUCAGGUACAGCACUAUACACUGUAUUAUUGUUAUUAUUUGAUGCACAUGCUACUUCACAAUAUCAUAUUGGAACUAUACUGUAAAAAUAACUAACUCCCCCAAAAAUGUAGAGGAUGAUGGCGCUUGAUGCUGCUGUGAACCAUCACAAGUAUAUCUUUGUUGAUGAAGUGGGCUUCAACCUGGCCAAAACUCGGCACCUUGGGCGGAUCCUCAUCGGCCAACGGGCGACUGUCCAAGUGCCUGUAAAACGUGGGGGAAACAUCUCUAUGCGCGCAGCCUUCUCUGAAGAUGGUGUGGUAGGCCAUUACUUGGACCAUACAAUGCUGCACACCUCAUUGUGUUUCUCAAUAAAAUUGAGCAGGCAGGCAAGGUGAAGGGGUCACCUAUGUCAUUGUGCUCGACAAUGUCAGGUUACACCAUGCUGAAUUGGUUCAGGCUGUUGGGCCCAUCCCCGAUUCAUGACCCUAUACCAGCCCGCAUACUCUCCUUUCCUCAAACCUAUUGAGUAUUUUGUUUUAGUAUGGAGGUGGAAGGUGUACGAUCGACAUCCCCGUGAGCAUGCCACCCUCCUUCUGGCCAUGGAUGAGACAUGCAACGAUAUUAAUGCAGACCAAUGUCAGGCUUGGAUUCGCCAUACAAGAAGGUUUUUCCCACGGUGCAUGAACAAUGACAUUCACUGUGAUAUGGAUGAGAAUUUAUGGCCAAAUGCUCACAGUCUUAAUGCAAAUUAAUGCGUGCUAAACGUUAUGUUUUAUUUUCAUUCAUUUGUUUCAUCAAAUUUCUUACAUUUGAUUACAUGCAGUACACCUAUGUUGCAAUUGUGCGUGAAUGAUUCUAGAGGAUGUCUAUGUUGAUCACAUAUUGGAUAGAUAUGGAAGGGAUAGAUUUUCUGUCAAUUUUGUUGGGUAAUGUACACUACCGUUCAAAGGUUUGGGGUCACUUAGAAAUGUCCUUUUUUUUUAAAGAAAAGCUAAUUUUUUCCCAUUAA